GAGGAUGACGCACCGCCAUCGUCAGAA
rnacentral:sRNA from 1 species